rnacentral:rRNA from 1 species
CCUACGGGAUGCAGCAGUAGGGAAUCUUCGGCAAUGGACGAAAGUCUGACCGAGCAACGCCGCGUGAGUGAAGAAGGUUUUCGGAUCGUAAAACUCUGUUGUUAGAGAAGAACAAGUAGGAGAGUAACUGCUCUUACCUUGACGGUAUCUAACCAGAAAGCCACGGCUAACUACGUGCCAGCAGCCGCGGUAAUACGUAGGUGGCAAGCGUUGUCCGGAUUUAUUGGGCGUAAAGCGAGCGCAGGCGGUCUUUUAAGUCUGAUGUGAAAGCCCUCGGCUCAACCGAGGAAGGUCAUUGGAAACUGGAGGACUUGAGUGCAGAAGAGGAGAGUGGAAUUCCAUGUGUAGCGGUGAAAUGCGUAGAUAUUUGGAGGAACACCGGUGGCGAAGGCGGCAAUCUGGUUCACAACUGACGCUGAGGCGCGAAAGCGUGGGGAGCAAACAGGAUUAGAUACCCGUGUAGUC